GACGUGAGGGCGCGAGCGUUGUCCGGAUUUAUUGGGCGUAAAGAGCUCGUAGGCGGCUUGUCGCGUCGAUCGUGAAAACUUGUGGCUCAACUACAAGCUGGCGGUCGAUACGGGCAGGCUGGAGUUCGGUGAGGGGAGACUGGAAUUCCUGGUGUAGCGGUGAAAUGCGCAGAUAUCAGGAGGAACACCGGUGGCGAAGGCGGGUCUCUGGGCCGAUACUGACGCUGGAG
rnacentral:rRNA from 1 species